rnacentral:tRNA from 1 species
GGUGUGUAGCUCAACGGUAGAGCAUUCGAUUGCAGAUCGAAUGGUUAUUGGUUCAAUUCCAAUCAUACCCUU